rnacentral:rRNA from 1 species
GGGGAAUUUUCCGCAAUGGGCGCAAGCCUGACGGAGCAACGCCGCGUGAGGGAUGAAGGCCUCUGGGCUGUAAACCUCUUUUCUCAAGGAAGAAGAUCUGACGGUACUUGAGGAAUAAGCCACGGCUAAUUCCGUGCCAGCAGCCGCGGUAAUACGGGAGUGGCAAGCGUUAUCCGGAAUUAUUGGGCGUAAAGCGUCCGCAGGCGGCCUUGAAGGUCUGUUGUUAAAGCGUGGAGCUUAACUCCAUUUCAGCAAUGGAAACUACAAGGCUAGAGUGUGGUAGGAGCAGAGGGGAUUCCCGGUGUAGCGGUGAAAUGCGUAGAUAUCGGGAAGAACACCAGUGGCGAAGGCGCUCUGCUGGGCCAUAACUGACGCUCAUGGACGAAAGCCAGGGGAGCGAAAGGGAUUAGAUACCCCUGUAGUC